rnacentral:rRNA from 1 species
UACGGAGGGGGCUAGCGUUGUUCGGAAUUACUGGGCGUAAAGCGUGCGCAGGCGGCCUCUUAAGUCAGAUGUGAAAUCCCCGGGCUUAACCUGGGAACUGCGUUUGAAACUGGGAGGCUAGAGUGUGGAAGAGGGGGGUGGAAUUCCAGGUGUAGCAGUGAAAUGCGUAGAGAUCUGGAGGAACACCGAUGGCGAAGGCAGCCCCCUGGGCUGACACUGACGCUCAUGCACGAAAGCGUGGGGAGCAAACAGG